rnacentral:rRNA from 1 species
UACAGAGGUCUCAAGCGUUGUUCGGAUUCAUUGGGCGUAAAGGGUGCGUAGGUGGCGCUGUAAGUCGGGUGUGAAAAUUUCGGAGCUUAACUCCGAAACUGCAUUCGAUACUGCGGUGCUUGAGGACUGGAGAGGAGACUGGAAUUCAUGGUGUAGCAGUGAAAUGCGUAGAGAUCAUGAGGAAGACCAGUGGCGAAGGCGGGUCUCUGGACAGUUCCUGACACUGAGGCACGAAGGCCCAGGGGAGACG